UAGGGAAUUUUCCACAAUGGGCGAAAGCCUGAUGGAGCAACGCCGCGUGCAGGAUGAAGGCUCUAGGGUCGUAAACUGCUUUUCUCUGUGACGAAUAUGACGGUAGCAGAGGAAUAAGGAUCGGCUAACUCCGUGCCAGCAGCCGCGGUCAUACGGAGGAUCCAAGCGUUAUCCGGAAUUACUGGGCGUAAAGAGUUGCGUAGGUGGCAUAGUAAGCAAAUGGUGAAAUCGUGAGGCUCAACCUCAUAUCCAUCAUUUGAACUGCUAAGCUCGAGGACGAGAGAGGUAGAUGGAAUUCCCUGUGUAGGAGUGAAAUCCGUAGAUAUAGGGAGGAACACCGAUGGCGUAGGCAGUCUACUGGCUCGUUCCUGACACUAAGGCACGAAAGCGUGGGGAGCAAACAGG
rnacentral:rRNA from 1 species